rnacentral:rRNA from 1 species
AUUGAACGCUGGCGGCAUGCCUUACACAUGCAAGUCGAACGGUAACAGGUCUUCGGAUGCUGACGAGUGGCGAACGGGUGAGUAAUACAUCGGAACGUGCCUAGUAGCGGGGGAUAACUACUCGAAAGAGUGGCUAAUACCGCAUGAGAUCUACGGAUGAAAGCAGGGGAUCGCAAGACCUUGUGCUACUAGAGCGGCCGAUGGCAGAUUAGGUAGUUGGUGGGAUAAAAGCUUACCAAGCCGACGAUCUGUAGCUGGUCUGAGAGGACGGUCAGCCACACUGGGACUGAGACACGGCCCAGACUCCUACGGGAGGCAGCAGCGGGGAAUUUUGGACAAUGGGCGAAAGCCUGAUCCAGCAAUGCCGCGUGCAGGAUGAAGGCCUUCGGGUUGUAAACUGCUUUUGUACGGAACGAAAAGCCCCGGGUUAAUACCCUGGGGUCAUGACGGUACCGUAAGAAUAAGCACCGGCUAACUACGUGCCAGCCGCCGCGGUAA